GACGAACGCUGGCGGCGUGCCUAAUACAUGCAAGUCGAGCGAAGUUUUUCUGGUGCUUGCACUAGAAAAACUUAGCGGCGAACGGGUGAGUAACACGUAAAGAACCUGCCUUAUAGACUGGGACAACUAUUGGAGACGAUAGCUAAUACCGGAUAACAGCAUUAACUGCAUGGUUGAUGUUUAAAAGUUGGUUUUGCUAACACUAUGAGAUGGCUUUGCGGUGCAUUAGCUAGUUGGUGGGGUAAAGGCCUACCAAGGCGACGAUGCAUAGCCGACCUGAGAGGGUGAUCGGCCACACUGGGACUGAGACACGGCCCAGACUCCUACGGGAGGCAGCAGUAGGGAAUCUUCCGCAAUGGGCGAAAGCCUGACGGAGCAACGCCGCGUGAGUGAAGAAGGAUUUCGGUUCGUAAAGCUCUGUUGUUAGGGAAGAAUGAUUGUGUAGUAACUAUACACAGUAGAGACGGUACCUAACCAGAAAGCCACGGCUAACUACGUGCCAGCAGCCGCGGUAAUACGUAGGUGGCAAGCGUUGCCCGGAAUUAUUGGGCGUAAAGCGCGCGCAGGUGGUUUAAUAAGUCUGAUGUGAAAGCCCACGGCUCAACCGUGGAGGGUCAUUGGAAACUGUUAAACUUGAGUGCAGGAGAGAAAAGUGGAAUUCCUAGUGUAGCGGUGAAAUGCGUAGAGAUUAGGAGGAACACCAGUGGCGAAGGCGGCUUUUUGGCCUGUAACUGACACUGAGGCGCGAAAGCGUGGGGAGCAAACAGG
rnacentral:rRNA from 1 species